ACAUCUAUUUGAGUUGUGUUUCUUUAGAUUUACAAAAGGUUUCUCUUUCAGAGAAAUAAGGCAUCUUUUCCUCAAAAGAGAAAAAACGUCCAUUAAAGUUAUCUCCAACAUAAAGCGUUUGGAACUAUCUUCUGUAACGGGUACGAUUUUAAUUGUGGCUUUAUAUGGUAUAGUUCAUUUUUAUAUGAAAUUAUAUUUUAUGAUUAGUGGAACGAAUUCAAUGAUCCUGCAAACUAUGUAUAUGAUCAAAUUCUUCAUAAUCCUAUAUGAUUAAAUAGUGGAAAUUUUAGGAAUCACGUAGUUUUAAUAUGAAAUUACAAUCUAUCCCUAUUUAGUUUGUAAUUACAUUAAUCCCUGAAAAAGUAAAACAAACUGGAUACAUAAUAUGUAGCUCGGAUACAUUAUAAAAUAAUUUAGAAUUAGGAGAGAAAUAAGGGAUUUUAGAGGUUUUAGAAAUAGAAGGGAAUAUUGGAAAUAAGAGAAACAUAAGACGUAUAUUUCAGUAUUUUUUCAUAAAUUAAAUGUAUAUAGAAUGUACUAAAAUGUCCUUUAGAACAUGUUUGAAUAGAUCCUAUAAUUUAUUAUAACCCAAAAGUCACAAGGAAAAACUACAUAAAUGGGCCAUAAAAUCUAUAUAUAUAUAUAUUUGGCAAUUUUCUCAUUUUUCCCCUCAUUUUUUGUGCAUAAGAAUAAUCAUAGGUCACUCUCUUAACUAGCCAUUUUGUAAAUUGUAACGGUUUACAUUGAUUGCUUAAUUAAAAGGGUGUCAAAAAUAAAAUUCCUGACCUAUCAUAUUCCAAUUGCUAUAAUUUCCUAGGAACUGUUACAUCUGUACCUUUUGAUGGAUAUUGCUUUCAAGUAACAUUAGCUGCUCUUAUAGUGGCUCCUUAUUAUAGCAUUGCAUAGUGUGAGUACGUACAGAAUCUUCGACUUCACGUGAUAAUAAUAACGAUAGUAAAUAAAUCCUAACAUGAUAAAAUUAUUCUGUAAAAAUAUGAUUUGUUGAAUCUGAUCAUGUUUAGAUUGAUCAUUAACUCGCUUAUUCAUUAAUUUAGCCUAUUUCAGUUCAUAAAAAGACACAAAGAUUUAGGAUGUGUUUUUUUCACUUUGCUUAUCCAUAUCCUCCAUCAUCUACUCCUUCCAUUACCAAUGAUAUUGUGUCUAACUAGGCAUGGAGUUUUAAGUGAGGAAAAAUGAUUUUUGAAAUUUAUAAUCUAAAGACUAAAAUAAGUUAUAGAUAUAUUUUAGAUUGUUUUUGAACUAGAUUUGCAAAGCACGUAUAGGUUAAUGUAAUCCAUGCAUAAUAAAAAUGUCAUCUUUAAAAAAAAUGCAAUUUAAUUAUUUUUAGUGACUUUAUUUCUAAUUUCUUCUGUAUUUUCUUUUAAUUAAUUUUUUUAUUUUAAAAAAUAAUCAAAUUAUACAAAAUCUAAUCGAUUAUAUUUCUAUAUAACACAGAAUGAAGACUCUGAAACCUAAUGAAGUUCUAGGUGCACAGAAGUUCCUAUUUUGAUAUUUUUAUUUUUGGUAUUAUACUUUUUUAAAAUAAGGAAGUAUGUGAAUACAUAAAAUUUGGAUGAAAUUUAAAAGUUCUAUAUAUUAGAAAAUAUUAAAUUAUAUACCAUAAGUCAAACGGGCGAAUAAGGCGAAAGCCCUUUACAACACUCAUCAGAGAGAGGGUAACCUAUCCUAUAUAGUAAUAAAUUAGUCUCAUUUCAUUAUUAUUUAAUUAUUGUUAAAACUAAGAAAAGAAAUUCUUGAAUUUAAAUAUUAUAUUAAUAUUUCACGUAAGAGUUCUGUGUUUCAAAUGUCUUACCAUGAUUUUUGAGGACUUAUAUGUGAAUAUGUUAUAAAAUAUGUUGGCAUCUUUCUGGCCUAAUAUUGAAAGUAAGAUAUGGACAUACUUUUAUCAUGAUUUUAAAAAAAUUCAUAACAACUCAUAUAGAAAAACAAAAUCUUCUGACUUUUUUUAAUAUAUAAUUUGAAAUGAGGAGGUUACCCCUAAUUAAUAUGUGGAAACAUAAAGUCUGAAAAUUAAAUAUAUUAAGUUAAUAUUUUACAAUAAAUGACUUAAUAUAAAAAAAAAAAGAUAUGGAAAAUUGUAGAAAGAAAAUUAGAUAAAGAGAGCACAUAUAUUCUAUGGUCUUAUAUUUUGUAUAUCUAGAUUAUUAUCCAAAUGAAAAAGAUGUCAGUGAUGACUUAUUUAUAUUUAGCAAAGUCACAAAGCUAUCGAAAUUUACAGUCACUACAAUAAAACAAUUUUUAGCAUUCAUCAAUGUUUUCUCUUUUAAGAAAAAAAUCAGAAUCUAAUUCCAACAGUGAUAUUGUAUACCAUUACACAAAAGAUGGUCUAAAUCUUAUCCUGUGUACACAUGACAUAUUGUAAGCAAUUUUCGAAAAAAAUGAAAAAAUGCUAAACAUAUCAGAGAGGGAUAGGGAGUGUGUUCAUCAAGAAUUGUGGUCAGCAACUUUGUUAGCUUCUAUAUAAUAGUAUAUAGUGUAAACAUGUGAUAUCAUCUUGAACAUUAUUGUCAGUAGUAUCUUGUACAAUGACCUCUAAAUUAAAAUUAUGAGAGCUCUUGUUCUUCAUCAUAUAUACAACAACAAAGAGUCACUACUAAAAAAAUAUAAAAAAUUAGAGAUCGAAAAAAAAUGAUCUCAGGAACAUAGGAUAUCGAAGGCUUGAGAUUUUUUCUUAACAGGUUAACCACAUAAAAAAUUAAUAAUUUUAUAUUUAUACUAUAAUUUGGUGUUGGGGAUUAAAAAAAAGCGCAGAAGCAAAGAAAGAGAUUUUCUGAAGUCUUUGAAUUGCAAUUGAAUAGUUAUAUUUGUUGAAAUUAGGUAGAAUUUUUUUACUUUUUUCUUUUUAGUCUAAAAAUAUUUUAUAGUAUUUAAUUUCAUUUCAAGUCUAGGAUUUACAUUAAUUGCAAAAUAUUUAAUUUCCUUUUUAGUUUAGUAUCUAGAAGAAAAAUAAUACACUUUAUUCUCCUUAAUUAUUUAUAAAUAGUGAUAUACUCUUCUAUUUGAAUCAAGGCAUGAAUCAAUACAGAGAGUUAUUCAUUCUCUCUUUAAUUUUUCUUUCUAGUUUCUUACAUUCCAUAACAAUAUUGAUAGUUUGUUUAAUAGGCUUACAUCUAAUUAACAUUAGCUAAAUAGAGUGGAUAAACAUGUUCACUAACUCUACCAUAUCAACUAGAAAAUAAUAAACAAUGCUAAAAAACCAAACAACACUACUUUUUACUAGCUAAAAACUAGAAAUUAAAUCGACUAUUUUAAUUUGAAGCAUUAAAUAACAUUUGGUAUAAAAUUUAUAUUCUGUUAUUAAGAUUACAUGUAAUUAGUACGAAUACAAUUUAAACUAGUCUUAUAUAUUAUACAUAUAGUUAAAAAAUUAAAUAUGUCAUUUAUUUGGUUAAUACUAAUUAUUGUGAUUUAUUAUACUUUUUACGUCAAUUUUAAAUAAUGUGUUACUCUCCAAGUACCAUACUAUGCGUUAUUGAUAGAAUUUUGAGAGUCGACCAAAUUAUUAAAUUUUUUAAGUUAUCAAUUAUUAUGAUCUAUAAUAAUUUUUAGUUAAUCUUUAAAAUACAUAAUAAAAUUUUAAGUUAUUAAUUAUUGUGAUUUAUAAUACUUUUAACAUAUAAAAUAUAUAUAAUAGAUUAACAAAAGUACAAUAAAUCGGGUGAGAAAACAUUUGGGUUUGAGAGUUACGUAUUUCAUGAUAGGCUAGACUUGGACAAAAUCUGAGCGAGAUGAGGUCUAGAACAAUCUGAGAAGAGGAUUAGGUGAAGCGUCCAAGUAGAAUUUGGUUUUCUUGCAGCUAAGAUUUUAAUGAGUCUGAUGACUUUUCGGAUGUGAAUUCUAGGGAAUAGAACUCUCAAUAUUGAAUUUGGCGUGAAGGGAUCGGUUUGACUACAUUAGAAUUUGAAGGGUGUUGCAAAAUAGACUAUUUUAGGAAGAUUUUUGAGGUUCGGUCCCGUGCAAACCGUUAUAGAGGGUGGGAUUUAUUCCCGCUAUGGGGCCUGUUUUACACGUUUAAAAAAAGAAAUAAAAGAUUUAUUUUAUAAAGAAUCGAUUUUAGCUUAACUUUAAAAGAAAACUAAUUUUAUAUAAGAGUUGCCACUUUAAAAUUUUUAAGAAAAAACAAGAAAACUUAUAAUUUUCAAAAGUCUUAAACAGAUAAAUCAUUUGAAAAUACCAGAGGGGUUCGAGGUUUAAUUUAUACUUUAAGAUGGUGUUAGCCACUUGAAGUGUUCACCAACACGCGAUUGACCUAUGACUUAACUUAAUAUUUGAUUCUUGACCAACUUUUGAAAAUUAAUAAAGUAAAGAGAAACCAAAUUUUAGAUUACUUAAAGUAGGGGUGUGCAUCGGUCGGUUCGGUUCGAUUUUAUGUAUUAUCGGUUCGGUUUAUUGAUUUUCGGUUUUUAAAUACGUCAAACAAAUAACCAAACCAAUAAGAGAUUUUUUAUCGGUUUAUCGGUUUUGGUUCUUAACGGUUCGGUUUUCGGUUUAACCAAUAAGAAAAUACUUAUAAAAUAAAUAUAUGACUUCUUUAAUAAAUUUGACGCAACAACACAACAAUGUAAUAAAAAAAUUAUACAAAUGUAACACAAAGAGAAAUUAAGAGGAAUAAGGUUCUUACUUUAGAUUUUGACGUGCUGUAUAAUGUGAAGUUGUGAACUAAAAGUCACUUUGAAGCGUGAAUUGAAGACUAAAGGAUAAAGACCGUAACUAGUAAGGUAUUGAGAUUAAUAUAUAAUAUUUAUGUACAAGUAAAUAUAAUAAAUUACUAGGCUUAAUGGGUUAUUGGGUAAACCAAUAACCCAAUAUUAAAAUCAAUACCGAACCGAUAACUCGAUAAUUUUUUUUAUAAAACCAUUAAAAACCUGUUAGUCCAAUAACUCAAUAACAAUAAAUCAAUAACAUUUUUUUUGGUUCGGUUUAUCGGUCAAGUCGGUUUUUUGCACACCCAUAACUUAAAGAGAAUAUAUUAAGAAUCAUUUUUGAGAAAAUAACUUUUUAUUAAUAAACAAAAUAUGUAAGUAAAUAAUAAAUAAUACUUUAAUUAAACAUAAAAAAAAAGGGUUAUCUUUGGGAAUUUAAUUAAAUUCAACCAGACAAAAUAAAGGUUAGAAUUAAUACAAAUAAUAGAGUAAAGUAAGAAGGUCAAAUUUGGAUUUCUGGUCCAACGUGCCCUAACUCUAAGAUUGUCAAAAUAAUGAGCUUUUGCCAUUUGAAUCAGAAUCAGUUAUUGCACAUUUUUUUUGGGGUUUUAUUUCCAUUUCCGCCUGGACAUGCAAUAACAAACAAAAAUUAGGCUUUGGUCCAUCUCCUUUGGAUUGUUAUACAACUCUUUUAACAAAACAUACUGUCUCAGCUAAUGAGCAUCAUCAACAUUGUUGUCCAACAAAGCUUCUACAUGUUCAGUCCAUUCCACAAGAUCAAUCCCGCCCACAUCGUCAGUCCCACCCAUAAGAUCAGUCUCAUGUCUAGUCCAUUCCAUGCACAACAUCAGUCUCAUAUCUAGUGCCUUAAGUAUCAUGUCCAAAAGUAGCAGUCCAUUUCAAAGAAAGAGUCCCUUGUCCAGCAGCCAAUGUAGAGUAAUGUUCAACAACAGGCAUAACAUAUCCUUCCAAAAUGACAGUCCGAUAAUUAGGCCCUCUAACAAGAUCAGUCUCAUGUCCAGUCCCUUCCACAUCAUCAGUCUCAUAUCUAGUGCCUUCACUAUCAUGUCCAAAAAUAGCAGUCCAUUUCAAAGAAGGAAUCCCUUGUCCAACAACCAAUGUAGACUAAUGUUCAACAGCAGGCAUAAUAUAUCCUCCCAAAAGAGCAAUCUGAAGAUCAAUCUCUCUCACAAGAUCAGUCACAUGUCUAGUCCCUUCCACAACAUCGGUCGCAUGUACUAAAUCAUCAUAAGUCUUAUAUCUAGUGCCUUCACUUUCAUGUCUAAAAGUAGCAGUCCAUUCCAAAGAAGGAGUCCCUUGUCCAGCAGUCAAUGUAGAGUAAUGUUCAAUAGCAGACAUAAAAUAUCCUCCCAAAAGGGCAAUCCGAUCCAAACCACUACUUGUCUCACCUAAACGUAACAUUUUGAUCGGUACAACACCAGAUGAGAAAGUCAACAACCGAUGAUAAAGGCGAUUAACAAUAGAUAUGGAAGUUAAAAAAAACCAAACAUAAACUAAUUUACACAAAAUAGAAAUUAUUUCACCUAAAAAUGAAUUAGCAGAAAAGUUACCUCUAAACAAUUUUGUUAGGACAUUGUCCCUUGAAGCUCUGGUCUUAUAGGCAGGUAUUUUGGCAAUGGCCUCAUAAAUCUGUUUAAAGCUAUCAAUUGAUACUCCAACCUCCUACCCUUUUUUUUCAUUUAUUGCCUUACUAUACUCUAAUACUAAAUCAAUAUAAUAAACUGAAAAUUAUUACUAAAGAAAUUCUGAACAGUUGUAUCACAAUCAAUUAGAAAGAGCUGAUCUAAAUUUUGAUCUAAGACUGCAAUUGAAAACUUAGCCUCUACUGUCCAGCAAAAUGAUGCUAUAACAUAUUUUUUUAGUUCAGUUAGGUAAAAUUAAAAGAAGAUAGGACUGUUCCACGAUCAUUAACUGAUUUGGCCACAAUUAAUUUUGUAUGAUUUGCAAUUAUAAUAAGAAUGAAAAAGUUAUAUCAUGUUUAAAGUCAAAAUAAAACAGAAUAAAAGAGUUGGAGUUACCAUUAGGUUGUUCUUCACAUAUUAUAAUUCUUUCCCUUUGUUUUGUCCUUUGAAAGGUCAUGAGUUAGGAAGUAUAGACACACUCAAAUUAUCAAACCACCAAGGAGAAAAUGAAUAGAUUGAAACUGUGUACCCAACCUUCUGAAAAAAUAAAACAAGAAAUAAAUAAAAAAUAAAAAUUUAUAUUAAAGAAUUACUUAACCAAAAAAUGUAAACUUGCAAUUGUUCUUUGAUUAAUUUGUACUCCUCGAUUGAAAAUUCUGCAUUGAUAUGGAUCGUAAGGAGUUCUAAAACUCCAAUACAACCAGUACUGGACAAUUUGAUAAUAAGGAAAAAUUUUAAUGCAUUAAUAUUGAAUUGUUUAGCCAAAUUCAGAUGCGAAAAAUCUGAAUGGUUAAAGAAUGUGUAGGUAUUUUGUUUAAAAGUUUUGACUAUUUAUUUUUUCCUAGAUUGUUUUCUAUAAGAUAGAAGAUGGAAAGAACUAUAAGCCAUUGCAUAAGGUGAAUUCUUGGCAGUGAGUUGUGUCUCAUCAUCAUGGGAGGGAAAUCAAAACUGAAUUAAGCUGUUUUUUGAAACCUCCAUGGUAGAACAAGCAUUGUGAUGAAACAGAUUGAACAUCAUAUAUACAUAGUUGUAUAUAAUUGUUCAUCCUCAUCUGAAAAAUGUAAAACACAAGGGUAAAAUGUCUAUAGAAGAUGUAAAGGAAUAAUUUUUCACAAGCAUAAAAUGACACAUAAUCUGUCCAUAAAAAUAUGUAUAAACAUGUAAAUGAAUAAAAAAAAUUCUAGAAAGUUGGAAAGAUAACUAAUUGGAACCCUAAACUACUGUAAUUUCAAUUGUCUUGAAACUCUAAAAGACUACUUUGUCAUUACAAUUCUCUUGAAACUCUAAAAGAUUGAUUCAAGUGUAACAAAAUGAUUUAUUUCAGUUUAUAUUAUGCAAUGUAUUUGAAUUAUGCAUGAUUUGCGAUGACUAACGUUUGAUAAUAUGUAUCAAGGAAACAUGACACAGCCCUGGGAAUGCACCAAAUGCAAAGCAAAGGUGCCAAAACUGAGAGGUGUCUCAGGGAAGAUCAUUGACCAGAUUAACAAAUCCAGAAAAUUAGAUUCAUCCAAUUGAGUUAUUUAAUAAAGCCUCCUACCUAGUAUUUGUAGAUUAAUAAGUUUCUUCUAUAAAAUCAUUAUUGGGUCUUUCACUUGUGCAUAUAUUAAUUCCUUGGAUAAUAUUACUUUCUUCAAAUUGGUAUCAGAGCUUGUGUGUGAU
rnacentral:lncRNA from 1 species